rnacentral:rRNA from 1 species
AGAGUUUGAUCAUGGCUCAGCCUGAACGCUGGCGGCGUGGUUAAGACAUGCAAGUCGCACGGGAGCAGCAAUGCUCUAGUGGCGCAAGGGUGAGUAAUGUAUCGCUAACGUACCCCGGAAUCUGGGAUAGCUGCCCGAAAGGGCAGGUAAUACCAGAUAAUAUAUCCUGGCCGCAUGGUUGGGAUCUCAAAGGAGCAAUCCGAUCUGGGCGCGGGCGAUAUCGUAUCAGCUAGUUGGUGAGGUAACGGCUCACCGAGGCGACGACGCGUAGCCGGACUGAGAGGUCGGUCGGCCACAUCGGGACUGAGACACUGCCCGGACUCCUACGGGGGGCUGCAGUAACGAAUCUUCCCCAAUGGGCGCAAGCCUGAGGGAGCGGCGCCGCGUGGAGGAUGAAGUCCUUCGGGAUGUAAACUCCUGUCAGGGGUUACCAAGUUCUGAGGAGCCCCAAAGGAAGAGGCGGCUAACUCUGUGCCAGCAGCCGCGGUAAUAC